CCCAGCUUGCUGGGCUGGGAAACUGGGUCUAAUACCGGAUAGGAGCGCCUACCGCAUGGUGGGUGUUGGGAAAGAUUUAUCGGUUUUGGAUGGACUCGCGGCCUAUCAGCUUGUUGGUGAGGUGAUGGCUCACCAAGGCGACGACGGGUAGCCGGCCUGAGAGGGUGACCGGCCACAUUGGGACUGAGACACGGCCCAGACUCCUACGGGAGGCAGCAGUGGGGAAUAUUGCACAAUGGGCGCAAGCCUGAUGCAGCGACGCCGCGUGAGGGAUGACGGCCUUCGGGUUGUAAACCUCUUUCAGUAGGGAAGAAGCGAAAGUGACGGUACCUGCAGAAGAAGCACCGGCUAACUACGUGCCAGCAGCCGCGGUAAUACGUAGGGUGCGAGCGUUAUCCGGAAUUAUUGGGCGUAAAGAGCUCGUAGGCGGUUUGUCGCGUCUGUCGUGAAAGUCCGGGGCUUAACCCCGGAUCUGCGGUGGGUACGGGCAGACUAGAGUGCAGUAGGGGAGACUGGAAUUCCUGGUGUAGCGGUGGAAUGCGCAGAUAUCAGGAGGAACACCGAUGGCGAAGGCAGGUCUCUGGGCUGUAACUGACGCUGAGGAGCGAAAGCAUGGGGAGCGAACAGGAUUAGAUACCCUGGUAGUCCAUGCCGUAAACGUUGGGCACUAGGUGUGGGGACCAUUCCACGGUUUCCGCGCCGCAGCUAACGCAUUAA
rnacentral:rRNA from 1 species